rnacentral:rRNA from 1 species
CAUGGCAUUGUAUUGAAAGUUACGGCGGCGACGGAUUGGCUCGCGUCCGAUUAGCUGGUUGGCGGGGUAACGGCCCACCAAGGCUACGAUCGGUAGGGGUUCUGAGAGGAAGGCCCCCCACAAUGGGACUGAGACACGGCCCAUACUCCUACGGGAGGCAGCAGUGAGGAAUAUUGGUCAAUGGGCGGAAGCCUGAACCAGCCAUGCCGCGUGCGGGAAGGAGGCCCUAUGGGCUGUGAACCGCUUUUGCCUGGGGGCAAUAAGGGCGUCGCGCACGUCCGAUGAGAGUACCAGGCGAAUAAGCAUCGGCUAACUCCGUGCCAGCAGCCGCGGUAAUACGGGGGAUGCGAGCGUUAUCCGGAUUCAUUGGGUUUAAAGGGUGCGUAGGCUGUGCGUCAAGUCGGGGGUGAAAUUCCGGUGCUCAACACCGGGGCUGCCCUUGAUACUGUCGCGCUGGAGUGCGGAUGCCGCCGGAGGAAUGAGUGGUGUAGCGGUGAAAUGCUUAGAUAUCACUCAGAACACCGAUUGCGAAGGCAUCUGGCGAAUCCGUAACUGACGCUGAGGCACGAAAGCGUGGGGAUAGAACAGGAUUAGAUACCCUGGUAUUCCACGCCGUAAACGAUGAUGGCUAACCGCCGGCGACACACUGUCGGUGGCCAAG